AUUGAACGCUGGCGGCAUGCUUUACACAUGCAAGUCGAACGGGGUGAGGGGGCAACUCCUCAUCUAGUGGCGAACGGGUGAGUAAUGCAUCGGAACGUGUCCCGUAGUGGGGGAUAACCCGGCGAAAGCCGGACUAAUACCGCAUAUGCUCUACGGAGGAAAGUGGGGGAUCCGCGAGGACCUCACGCUAUGGGAGCGGCCGAUGUCCGAUUAGCUAGUUGGUGGGGUAAUGGCCUACCAAGGCGACGAUCGGUAGCUGGUCUGAGAGGAUGAUCAGCCACACUGGGACUGAGACACGGCCCAGACUCCUACGGGAGGCAGCAGUGGGGAAUUUUGGACAAUGGGGGCAACCCUGAUCCAGCCAUGCCGCGUGCGGGAAGAAGGCCU
rnacentral:rRNA from 1 species